UACGGAGGGUGCGAGCGUUGUCCGGAAUCACUGGGCGUAAAGGGCGCGUAGGUGGCGCGGGAAGUCAACGGUGAAAGUUCGGGGCUCAACCCUGAAUCGGCCGUCGAUACUCCCGGGCUCGAGCACUGUAGAGGCAGAUGGAAUUCCGGGUGUAGCGGUGGAAUGCGUAGAGAUCCGGAAGAACACCGGUGGCGAAGGCGGUCUGCUGGGCAGUUGCUGACACUGAUGCGCGA
rnacentral:rRNA from 1 species